rnacentral:rRNA from 1 species
GGACUACAAGGGUUUCUAAUCCUGUUUGCUCCCCACGCUUUCGCUCCUCAGCGUCAGUACCGGCCCAGAGCGCCGCCUUCGCCGCUGGUAUUCCUCCUGAUAUCUGCGCAUUUCACCGCUACACCAGGAAUUCUACGCUCCUCUACCGGACUCUAGCCACGGCAGUAUCGAGUGGCGUCUCCAGGUUGAGCCUGGAGGUUUCACACCCGACUUACCGAGCCGCCUACGAGCUCUUUACGCCCAAUAAAUCCGGACAACGCUCGCCCCCUACGUGUUACCGCGGCUGCUGGCAC